CCUAUAGCAACAGCUGAAGAGAGAAAAAGUGUUGUAACUUCAAGAUUGCUCUUGAUAGUGCAAAAUUGGCAGUGUGGAUAAGGACCUUAUAAAAUCCAAUGUUUGCAUCUAUAAUUUAAAUUUUUAAUACAAAUUUGAUAGGCAUUCUUAACUGCUGAUUUAAAAAAAAUAUUAAAGGUACCGAUUACAACGUCAAAUUUGUUGGCACUGACACACAUAAGUAAAAUUAUUUAAAUUAGUUGCUUAAGCAUUUGACUACACCUAGGUAUAGAUCUUUACUUAGUUAUAUACUACAGUGUGGAAAUGCCGAUGCCACCCAAACCUGCUGCUAAAAAACCAGCGCCAGUAAAGCCUAAAGGAAAACUUUCUCCCGACAAUUCUAAAAAGCAGAAACCCAAAGGAUCACCUGAAAAUGAAGCUCAGAAGGAAAGAGAAAUCCAAGCCGCUAUACAAAUUCAGACUACAUUCCGCAAGUUUAUGGCAAAGAAAGAAUUAGAGAAAAGAAAGGUUGAGAAAUUUCAGUAUGCAGAACAAAUGGACAAAAUAGAACGUGAGGCUUAUUUGUACAUGGUUAAACUAGAUCAAGAACAGAACGAAAGAAAAAGAUUAAAAGAAGAAGAGGAAAAGAAAAUAAAACUUGAGGAAACCAAAAGAAAAAAACGGAUGUUGGAAGCUGCCUAUGAUGGGGACGUGGGUGUUAUGAAACAAAUUUUAAAAGAGGUUGAAGAUGCUGACAAUGCAGCAGGGAUUGCUCAAGAUGUUGUUGGUAAAUGUAUUCGUGCAAAGCAUCAGCUGCAGCUUGUUGAGUGUGAAGAUGCUAAUGCCAACACUGCACUAUCUGAAGCAGCAAAUGGUGGUCAUGCAGCAGCCAUUAAAUUCUUACUGGAUCAAGGCGCAGACCCAAAUACCGUGGGUCAGUUCAACAGGACUCCACUCUACAGAGCUGCCUUUGGUGGCCAUCUUGAAGCUGUGUUGGUGUUGUUAGAUCAUGGAGCAGACCCUAGGAUUCAUGCAACAGACAAUCAAAAUCCUACAGAGAUAGCAUCCACUCCUGCAGUAAAGGAUGUCUUAGAAAAGUGGAAUAUAGAACGUACUGAAGCGCUGCUUAAAUCCUUACAAGCUGUGAAAGAUCAAAGAAUGAAAGCUGAACAGUUGAAAAAUGAAGCUGAGAAAAAUAGACUGGAAAAAGUUCUUGAAGAGGCAGAAAAAGCUUAUGAUGCUAAAGUAAAACAGCUACAACAUGCAUACUGUGAAUUGAACAAGCGAAUUCAUGAACAUGAUAAAUGUCAAGCAGAAGGUUUUGCCAAACCAGAAAUCACAUUGCAGGCUAUUCAUGAUCAGGAGUUAGAAGUUGAAACUAUUAAAACUGAACUAGAAACUGCAAAAAAUAAUUUGUCCAAAGCAAGACUAGCACUUAGGGAGUCAAAGAAAAGAUGUGAUGACGAUGAUGAGGAUGAUCUCCCUGGAAUUAAAGUGAUUGUAAAAGAGCUGGAUGACGUAUUAUUUCGAGAUGUUGGUAACAGACUCAAGCAAUCUGGAAAGUGGCCAUUUAUUAUUGACCUGAUGGGGCAAGCAACCACUUUCUUGCGUUACAGAGACACAAAUUACAUCUGCACCCUUAGGCCUUCAGACAUGGAGAUAAACAAUAUUAGAAGGUGCCUGCUGGGAGCCAUUAGAUAUGGGAAGCCAUUUGUUUUAGACAUGAUGGAAGUGGACAUGUUUGACACAUGUGUUGACAAGUUUGAUGAGGUGUCCAAAGGUUUGAUGGCCAGCAUCAUGGACAAGUCCAUUCUAAAUGAAGAAAAGUACAGCAAGCUGAUAAAACCCACUGAUGGGCCUGAUUAUGAGAAAACAAAGUUCAAUGACCUGCGGAUCUCAAACUUUCUUUUUAUACUAGUGACCAAAAACCCUUUCCCAAGUGUUAAGCUGCUGGAAGCAAUGUAUGUGAUCAGGGUAGUUGUUCCAGUAUAAUACAUGUAAAACUGUUGUAAAUAUUUGUAAAAAUGUGUAUACACUUACAAAAUUUAUAUUAUUAUAAGAAUAUUUACACAAUUUAUAGAAAUGAAAUGCAGCAUAUUUUGUUUGUUUUCCCUGAUUUGCAACAAAAAAAAUAUCUUUUUUUGUUUUUUGAGUUGUUUUAUAAACAUCAUCUUAGAUAAAUUGUGUCACUACAUUAGAUUUUCUGUAUGUAGGUGAUCAAAGUUAAUUUAUUGAUUUUAAUUUAAUUUAAGCAUGUAAGUUUUAUUUAUGGUAUAAAGAUAAUUCAAUUAGAGUAAAAGAAUGUAAACUGUGACCAACUCCAGUAUAGCUCUGCUAUUGCUACACUGUGUCAACAGCAUUAACCAAUCAUCUGAAAGUUUGUCAUCACAGUUUAUAAAAAAAUUUAGUAAAAGAAUGUAGGUAGUUUAAAUAGUAUAAAUAAUUAAAUUUACCAGUGGCAUGGCUAAACAUUUUGAUUUAUUUUACUCACAUAUUUAAAUUUUUAGAAAAAAAUUAUUUUUUUCUAGAUUUGCAUUGGUUUCAUUUAGAUGAUAUGUGUGCAGUUUUUAUUACCUAAUCAGCAUUGAACAUUGUCUGCCUUCUUAACAUUAUUACCUACUGUAAAGUACUAAAAUUAAAACACAUGAGCAAGUCUUCAACCAUUGCUAUUUAGUAGUUUUAUUUUUUUAAUUGACAUAAAAAACUACAUGUAUAAGUUUUUAAAUCACAGUCAACCAUUCAAGUUACUCACAACAUAAACAAAGUCAUGGUAAAACAAUGGGGGUGAUGAGUGAGCAGCUAAAACACAAUUCAUUAAUCAAAAACACAAGUGAAUAAAAGAAUGUACAUUAGCUGUGAUACUUUAAAAUUAUCUUAAUUCAUUGAUCAGAAACUUCAGUGAAUAAAAGAAUGUACAUUAGAUGUGAAGCUUUAAAAUUCUCUUAAUUCAUUGAUCAGAAACUUAUUUGAAUAAAAGAAUGUACAUUAGGUGUGAAGCUUUAAAACUCAGCUGAACAGCAUUCGUGUCUUUAAAAACCUUGUAACACAUCAAAUAUUACAGGCCAAUUUGUUUUAAAAAAACUGAGUGUUUCAUGGAUAAAUUAUUUUAAAUGUUAAAUAUUUCUAGAUUAAAGUUGGGCAGUAAUUAGUAGCUUUAAUUUAAUUCAACUAUUUUUUACACUCUUGCAUGAGUUAAAACAUUUUAAAAUAAUAAACUUUUUAUAACAUAUUUAAAAUCCUGCACCAAGUAAAACCAUUAAAAAAUAAAAUUUAGCUCCAACUAUUCUUUAUGAUAGGUAUUGCACAAAAUGAAUAAAACUUGCUAAUCAAUUAUACUCUUCAUGCAAACAAUGCAGUCACUAACUGAUAAGAAAAAUAUUUUCAAUUACUCUUUUGAAAUAUUAUAAAUAUCAAAAGCACAGCAAUAAAGCUGUAUUUAUAUAUCAAUGAAUAUGCUAUACAUACAACUAAUCAGGGCAACUCUGAAGUUGACACUGGUACAAUCAGAGCUAUAUGGUUAUAGCAGAUAAGAAAGUCUAGACACAGUUAUCUACAUUUCA